GAUGAACGCUGGCGGCGUGCCUAAUACAUGCAAGUCGAGCGAACAGACGAGGUACUUGUUCCUAUGACGUGAGCGGCGGACGGGUGAGUAACACGUGGAUAACCUACCUAUAAGACGGGGAUAACUUCGGGAAACCGGAGCUAAUACCGGAUAAUAUAUUGAACCGCAUGGUUCAAUAGUGAAAGACGGAUUUGCUGUACCUUAUAGAUGGAUCCGCGCCGAUUUAGCUAGUUGGUAAGGUAACGGCUUCCCAAGGCAACGAAGCGUGGCCGACCUGAGGGGUGGUCCGCCCACAUUGGAACUGGACCACGCCCCAGACCCCUACGGGAGGCACCAGUAGGGAAUCUCCCGCAAUGGGCGAAAGCCUGACGGAGCAACGCCGCGUGAUUGAGAAAGGUCUCCGGAUCUUAAACCUCUUUUAUUGGGGAAGAACAAAUGUGUAAGUAACUAUGCACGUCGUGACGGUACCUAAUCAGAAAGCCACGGCUAACUACGUG
rnacentral:rRNA from 1 species